rnacentral:rRNA from 1 species
GCUUGGCCAUAAACAUAGAUAACAUAAUACACAUGCUAUCCGCCCGGGUACUACAAGCUCUGGCUUAAAACCCAAAGGACUUGGCGGUGCUUUAGACCCACCUAGAGGAGCCUGUCCUGUAACCGAUGAUCCCCGUUCAACCUCACCUUUCUUUGUUUACCCCGCCUAUAUACCGCCGUCGUCAGCUUACCUCAUGAGAGACUUAUAGUAAGCAAAACUGGCACAACCCAGAACGUCAGGUCGAGGUGUAGCGAAUGGAAAGGGAAGAGAUGGGCUACAUUCCUUAAAUUAAGGAAUACGAAUGAUGUUCUGAAACGUUCAUCCGAAGGAGGAUUUAGCAGUAAGCAGAAAACAGAGAGUUCCGCUGAAACUGGCCCUGAAGCGCGC